UCGUUUUUUUGCGAUCUAGUGGCGAAAGGGUGAGUAACACGUGAGUAACCUGCCCUAGGGAUCGGGAUAACCAACCGAAAGGUUGGCUAAUACCGGAUACGUUCCAUGAUCUUCGGAUUGUGGAGGAAAGAUGGGGAUUUCUUCGGAAACCUGUCACCCCUGGAUGGGCUCGCGGCCUAUCAGCUUGUUGGUGAGGUAACGGCUCACCAAGGCUAAGACGGGUAGCUGGUCUGAGAGGAUGGUCAGCCACACUGGGACUGAGACACUGCCCAGACACCUACGGGUGGCUGCAGUCGAGAAUCUUUCGCAAUGGGGGAAACCCUGACGAAGCGACGCCGCGUGUAGGAUGACGGCCUUCGGGUUGUAAACUACUGUCAGCAGGGAAGAAAAAGUUUCCGGUAAAUAGCCGGAAGCCUUGACGGUACCUGCAGAGGAAGCCACGGCUAACUCUGUGCCAGCAGCCGCGGUAAUACAGAGGUGGCAAGCGUUGUUCGGAUUUAUUGGGCGUAAAGGGUCCGUAGGCGGCCUGGAAAGUCGGAUGUGAAAUCCCACAGCUCAACUGUGGAACUGCAUUCGAAACUCUCAGGCUAGAGUACGAAAGGGGUGAAGGGAAUUCCCGGUGUAAGGGUGAAAUCUGCAGAGAUCGGGAGGAACACCAGUCGCGAAGGCGCUUCACUGGUUCGUAACUGACGCUGAGGGA
rnacentral:rRNA from 1 species